rnacentral:rRNA from 1 species
UACGUAGGGUGCAAGCGUUAAUCGGAAUUACUGGGCGUAAAGCGUGCGCAGGCGGUUAUGUAAGACAGAUGUGAAAUGCCCGGCUUAACCUGGGAACUGCAUUUGUGACUGCAUGGCUAGAGUUUGGCAGAGGGGGGUAGAAUUCCACGUGUAGCAGUGAAAUGCGUAGAUAUGUGGAGGAACACCGAUGGCGAAGGCAGCCCCUGGGUCAAGACUGACGCUCAUGGCACGAA